rnacentral:rRNA from 1 species
CGUAGGCAGCGAGCGUUGUUCGGAAUUACUGGGCGUAAAGAGUGUGUAGGCGGUGCUCUAAGUUUGGUGUGAAAUCUCCCGGCUCAACUGGGAGGGUGCAUCGAAAACUGGAGUGCUCGAGGGUGGGAGAGGUAAGCGGGAAUUCCUGGUGUAGCGGUGAAAUGCGUAGAUAUCAGGAGGAACACCUGUGGUGUAGACAGCUUACUGGACCACUUCUGACGCUGAGACACGAAAGGCGUGGGUAGCAAACAGGAUUAGAUACCCUGGUAGUCCACGCCCUAAACGAUGCAUACUUGGUGUGAGUCAUUCAUUUGAUUCGUGCCGGAGCUAACGCGUUAAGUAUGCCGCCGUGGGGAGUACGGUCGCAAGGCUG